rnacentral:rRNA from 1 species
GGAUGGUUCAUUCAAAUUUCUGCCCUAUCAAGUUUCGAUGGUAGGAUAGAGGCUACAUGCUUUUUACGGGUAACGGGAAUUAGGGUUCGAUUCCGGAGAGGGAGCCUGAGAAACGGCUACCACAUCUAAGGAAGGCAGCAGGCGCGCAAAUUACCCAAUCCUGAUUCAGGGAGGUAGUGACAAUAAAUAACAAUCCAGGACUUCGGUCUUGGAAUAUGGAAUGAGAACAAUUUAAAUCUCUUAUCGAGGAACAAUUGGAGGGCAAGUCUGGUGCCAGCAGCGAGGUAAUUCCAGCUCCAAUAGCGUAUAUUAAAGUUGUUGCAGUUAAAUAGCUCGUAGUUGAAUCUUGGGGCUGGUUUGGCGGUCGCGGUCUUUGACGUGUACUGUCGGCCGGUUCUUUUACUUGUUGGGGAACGUAUGUGCCCUUUGCGGAGAUGUGUACGGGAACAAUGGCUGUAACUUUGAAAAAAUUAGAGUGUUUAAAGCGGCGUAA